rnacentral:lncRNA from 1 species
CCAGGUCUCUGCUCCUGAGGAGUUGUAAUGAUGAGGCAGACAGCAGAGUGCGCGAGCGCGCGGGCCAACUUUGAGGGAGUUCAUUAACAGGAGAAAAUAAACAAACGCGCGAAAACUAACGAACUAACGCGCGGGUGAACAGGAGCCGGUAAACAGCGCGUCUGUGUGCGUUUAGUGUUGAGUUUUGGCGCGCGAAGGAAGAGCAGGAGGAACGGGAAGGUUGGAGCGGUCCGGUCACCGUAAGUGCUGCCCUGCGCCGCGCGCGCAACGCCGUCGUCCACGGGAGCUCGCGCUGCUCACACGGUCUCUCUCUCUCUCACACACACACACAUACACACACGCUCUCACGCUCUCUCUCUCUCUCGUGAGCGCGAGCUUCUCCUCCUGACAGCAGCGACAGCAGCAGCAGCCUCGCGCGCUCCCCUCCGCGAGCUCGUGCUCGUGUUCUCGCUGCAGCACGUGAAGCGUGUUUUCAGUGUGUUUGGAUGAGGCCCCGCGGACGGCGCGCGGAUCUCUGAGCUCGCACCGACCCCACGCGCGCACACAGUAUCUGGAUUAAAGGUAACCAGGGUGGAAGCGUUCAACUGAUGGAGAAUACACAGGAGCUGAACGAGCAGGCGGAUCCUCAGUGUCCUCCUACACACACUCUGAAACCGUCUCUGGGCUUGACUUUCAGCUUUACCUGCAUAUAUCACUGCAUUCAGUUGUCUUCAGUGUCUUCCUGAUAGGUAGGGGGCAGAUACUGUACAUGUGUUUGUAUAUAUGUAUA